GUGCCAGAGCAGGGAUUCCUCUGCAGCCCAUGGUGAAACAGCUGUGCCCCUGUAGCCCAUAGAAAAUCACAGGGAUGCACAGAUCCACCUGCAAUCCAGAGAGGACCCCCACACUGGAGCAGGUGGAUGACUGGAGGAGGCUGUGAUCCUGUAGGAGACCUGUGGAGAGAAAGGGGCCCUGUUCCCAUGUUGUUGCAGGCUGUCCUCAGAGGACUGCACCCCACGGAAGAGUGACCCACGCUGCAGCAGAUUUGGGAGGGCUGUUGUCCAUGGGAUGGAUUCAUAUUGCAGCAGUUCUCAGAGAGCUGCUGCUCGUGAGAGAUGGACUCACACUGGAGAAGAUCAUGGAGAAGUGUCUCCCAAGGGAGGGACCCCACAGUGCACCAGGGGAAGGACUCCUCUCCCUGAGCAGCAGGAGAAGCCACAGCCCAUGAGCAUUCUGUUGUAUUUGCUCUCACCUGUCCACAGAGGAUAGGGCACCUCUGGUAGGCACCAGGCAUCCAGACAAAGUCAAACCAGCACAAAAUUAAGGAAGAUUAAUGUAUGGGGAGAUCAAGCAGAAGAAAGAAUGAUCAAUGAGAGAGGAAAGAAAAUUAAAAAUCUUCCAUCUUCCACAAUUUCAACUGAAAAAUCUGCAUCUUAAAGUAACAAAGUGAUGAAUAUCUAAAUCAAAUGUACAUGACCUGAAAAUAAUUAUUUCAUUAGAAAAAUUUUCAAGAAACAAAUUCUGAAGCAGAAGUUUCACUUACUGUGAAGAUUUAACCAUAUAAUGUUAUUUGCUGAGCUUACAUAUCUUAUAGGUUAUUCUUCUACAAGAUUUUCCAGCUGAUUAAGACAUAGUGAAAUCUGCAACUUUUGGAUGCAUGAGUUUGACCUCACUUUUUUAAUGUCUGCUCAUUUGUCAGUGGAACAGUUACAGAGGGUUCUUUUCUUAAGAGCAAGUAAGUAUUAUAUACAGUAGAUAACACUCAUACUCUUUUACUGUUUCUGAAGAGAGUUACAAAUGUCAAUAUUAUUAAUUUACUAACAGCUCAGGCUGUUUUCCAAACAGAAGCACAGGGCAUGAUGAAUCACUCUUUAUCCACUUAUAAGAAGGUAGCUUUUCUAGAGAAGACUCAUAUUGCUCAUAGUGCAUGAAAUAUUAAUAAGGGCUGAUCUGUAAACAGUUCUGUGUGUAAAAUUGAGUGGAAAAAACAUUAAAAAGUUUUAAAAAGCUGAAAAAAAUUACUGAUACUUAUAAGGAAAGAUGAACUUAUCAGAAGAUGAAAAAGAAAUCCGCUUCAAAGGCAUGGGGAGAGAUCUGGAAAUGUAGGAAAUCAGAAUUACCAAAAGAGUGCUUAGUGUUUAAGGAUUACAAUUUACACUGCACAUUACAUGGGACUACACACACAAGUUUACACUAUCUUGAGCAGUGAGGUAUUUUUAAAAUAAAAAGAAAUUGGAAGACCAGACUUCCCAGCCAAAAGAUGUGUCAUCUUCAGUCUUUCUCAUACAUCCUGACAGGAGACAUUGUCCUGAAAACCUUUAUGUCGAUAUCUGAAGAUACUGUACAUGUCUUUUAGAUGGCUGGAGAUGAGCAAAUUACCUAUCAGAAAAAAUGAAGAAAUUUGAAGAGUAUUAUAAUAUGGGAGAAAAAAAAACACUUGUACAAGAACUCUAUGGCUUUUGGGAGAUGUUAGUUUUAACAUUAAAAAAAAAUCAACAACCCAAACACAAUUUUUUCAUGCAAACAUAUAAAAAAUAAAUUGAAGAAGUCAGAAAUACAGUUAUGUAGUCCUUCUGAAUCUCUAAUGUGGCAUCAGAGUUGAAUCUCAGAGCCUGAAAAGGAAGAUUUUGAGAAUUCUGGGAUGACAGAACACAAGACCAAUCUAUGAGGCUCUGGAAAUUGCCAUAGUUAGAAUAGUUGAAGAAAAGCAAAGACAAUAUUAAGGCAAGCUCAUUUUUAUGGUUUGUCUCUUGAAAACCCUAAAUUCCAGGUUCUAUCCUAGAAUUCUUCUUUUUAAACACCUAAGACAUGAUCUGGUAUCUGUCACAAAAGAAAUUCUUUUGUAUUUUACAUAACAAAUGAACCUUUCUAAAAUGUAUCUGAAAGAGCAUGCUAGAGAGAUAUAUUCUAUAUCUCUUUUUUUCCUCAUUUGUGCUGGAGAUCCCUAAAAGACCAUGGAAAUAUUUAUGCUAAAAAGCACACAGAUUUGGGUAUACUGGGAGGACUAGGAAUCCUCUGGAUCUCAAGUUGCUGCAUUUGGAAAUGUUUGCCAUGUAAUUUCUUUUUUUUUCUUCCAGCCUGUACAUACACUUAACUCAAGUUAAAGUGAACCCUGUUCACUCAGUUUAGAAAAAAGAAAAUAAUUUUCCUUUAGGAUUUUUCAAAAAGAUUUUGAUAUCAUGUACUAUAAGACUGUUGUGGCUUUCAGUAAUUCUGUUUAGGUUUCAUUAUAUUUUCUACAUACAUUUACUAAAUUUUCAAGUUCACUGGUUGUCUGAGAGAAAAAGAAAUUUUGGCUAGCAGAAUCUUACUAUACAAAUGUUUCUCAUAACUUUUUUUCUUUUUUUUUUUAUUAUACUUUCAGAUAUGUUUUCAAAGUAUCUUAUUUUGUGAAUCAAACUACCUCUUCUUGUACACUGAACCAAUCUCAUUCAAAUUUUCGAUACAGGCAAAUUAGGGACAAGACUUAAGUGCAAAAAGUCAUAGUAUUGUGGCACUAUCUGCAGCUAGUGAUAUCUGACUUGCACUUAUUCAGCUGAAUAUCUACUUAUCAUUUUAUACUUGAGUCUUUAUCUCCAGAAUAUUUGGAAACUGCAUUGAUAAAAACUGGAGAAAAAAGAAAAUGAUUGAUUGUGUGUCAAAAUUUAUCAUUACAAAUAAUUUUUUAAAUAGCAUUUCUUUAAGAAUAUUAAGUAGUGUCUUAUUCUGUCAGUUUUUAUCAGGGUAUAAAAUGUCACAGCAUAUGUACUGUAUUCGAGGUAUUUUUCUUUAACUACAGUACUAAAAUAAAGUAACUAAAAUAAAUGUGAUUCACAAUGUAGUUCCUUCCCCACUGUAAUCCCUGUGUGCACAUGAUUUUUCCUCUUACAUAUUUUGUUAUUCUUUUGAGAACUCUCACAAUAAUAAAAUUCCGCAUGAGAAAUCUUGAAUGUAGAAAUCAUUGUGUGUAUGGGUGUUUGGUCACUACUUUGUGUAAUUUUUGACCUCUAUUUUUUUGAUUUUAUGUAUGGAAAUUCACAAAAUCAGGCUAUCA